rnacentral:tRNA from 1 species
AAAGAAUUAGUUAAUAUAUAUAUAACAUUAGAAUGUCAAACUAAAAUAAUUUGUAUAAAUAUUCUUUG